rnacentral:misc_RNA from 1 species
GGCUAGAACCUCUCCCUGAGGAAUCCUCAGACAGCCAGGAACCCAGUCAGGCUGCAGGGGGGGCAGUCCCAAACAACCGGUGUGGUGGCAGGAUGACCCAGAGUAUCAGGAACUGCUCAUGAGGCAUGAAGAAGGAACGGAAGUCAUUGAAUUUGAAACAGCAGAGAGAAAUCCAGGCGUUCAUGAAGAAGAAGGGCAUGCCUGUCCCCCCUCUCCCUCCCCCGGCACCCCCACCCCCGCUACAGAUGCGAGGCCAUGGCCCAGGAAGUCUGAUGAGUCCUCAGAUGCAAUCUUUGCAGACAUCUCUACAACAGUUAGGAAGUUUACACAUCAAUGGCAAACUCAUGCCAAGCCUUACCAAACAGCACAGGCGCUCAAAUUCUGGGGACAUGUCAAAACUACACGAUCUGGCUAAGGAGGAGGAGGCCGCAUUAAAAUCCUUGACAAAACUGGAAGGACAAAAAGAUUCUGACUCAAUUUCGUACAUGUGUGACCUUUCGCAAAGAGGUUCGAGUCAGGGUAUUCUCAAGAUUGAGAAUGAUUCAACUGUGAUGUCAGACAAUGGUAGUUUAGAGAAAAAUGUCAAAGCCAGCUGUGAUACAGUAGACUGCAUGAAACAUGGCUUGAACCAAAGUAGUGAGAAACCUAGCGUGGACUUCUACGUCCCGACCAAUGUGCAGACUCCAGUGACGGAACAGCCGCUGCACGUGAUGACGAGCCAGCCGGGACUUUACCCCACUCACCCCUACUCUUACAGCUUCCCAUACACCAACACCCCCAAUUCUUCACCUUAUGCACAGGCUGGCUUCGGUGGUCAUGGGUACUUUUCUUAUCCCCAGUUCAUUCCGCAUAGUGUUGCCAUGAUGCACAGCAAUUCCAGCAGUUUGCUGGCCAAGUCUGGCGCUGCGCAGCCGGUAGUCACGACGGCUAUCCAAGCGACGACGGUCCCAGUAGAUUCGAACUCUGUGCCCGCUAUUUCAUCAUCUCAAUACACCUCAUCCCUAUCACCGCCGCAACCUUGAACAACUUUAGCCAAAUGUCUUUCAUAACAUUGUACCAUCAUUCUUUGAUACAAUAUCUAAGGUUUUUAUGCUUCAAGGAAAAUGCACACAAAUACUGUAGUUGUAAAUUGUUAAAACUUUUUAGCUUAAGAAAAGGUGGAGUCAGCAUCAAUGUUAUCAUUGCCAUUUCUUUAGAGUUUGGUGAAAUGGGAACAAAUAUGAACCUUAUUCAGGUCAUGAGUAAAUGGAGUUGGAUAUAUUUUUUUUUGUUGAGAAGAUGUAUGCUUGUGUGUGUGAUUGCUGCAGAACUGUGAAUAUCUUCACCAGAGUGCAAGUUGUGUUGACUGAAAUGCAGUUAUUGAAUAUUUAACAUUGUAAUUAAAGUAUCCUUUAAUUUAUCAUUUAUAAGUACAUUAAUUAAUGUGUAUUAUGCCUGUUAUAAUUUGUACUGUCAAAAGUGCUAUAGAGUAUUUAAAAGAAAUUUUAUAUCUACACACAAAGACACACAAUUUUUGAUGGCUGUAAAUGGUUGAGAGAGAAAUGAGAGAAAGAAAAAAAAAGGUGCAAAUAGUCCAUAACAGUAUUGUAGGCCAAGUUAAAAACAAAAACUCUGAAGAAAGGACUAAUUACAGCAUUGUGUACAAUGUUUAUGGUUGCCAUGCAAUCAAAAUGUUUUGAUGUAAAUAGACUUUUCAUUUUAAGAAUUGUGCCAGUAGUUUGCACUUUUGUCUCUGUUUUUAAAAAUUAGAAAAAAAAUCUUUUUUAUUCAUUG